rnacentral:rRNA from 1 species
UACGUAGGGCGCAAGCGUUGUCCGGAAUUAUUGGGCGUAAAGAGCUCGUAGGCGGCCUGUUACGUCUGCUGUGAAAUCCCGGGGCUUAACCCCGGGCGGGCAGUGGAUACGGGCAGGCUGGAGGCAGGCAGGGGAGAACGGAAUUCCCGGUGUAGCGGUGAAAUGCGCAGAUAUCGGGAGGAACACCGGUGGCGAAGGCGGCUCGCUGGAACGCAACUGACGCUGAGACGCGAAAGCGUGGGGAGCAAACAGG